ACCUUGAGCACAUCUCCCCAUUUUAUGUCCCACUGCAAGACAAAAGUUUAGUGUGAAUAUGUGGCACAAGACAGUUUUCUUCUCCUCAUACGCAUCUUACAAAAGUGAAAAGGGUGGAGAUAAACAGAAGGCCCACAGAGAAAAGAUAACUGAAGUGUUUUCUACUACCAUCAUGUGAGAAUGUAAACUGCAGGCUGAACAAGGCCAUGUAAGAAAGUGCAUUGAGGGAGUAGCCCAGCUUCAGGCUGGUUUUAUAUAAUUCAGUAUUCAGGCUGAGCUGUAUCUGAAUACAAAUUACAACUCAUCCUUCAGCCUGGGUGUCUGCUCAAUAGGCACAGAAUGAGAAACACAAAUGGAAUCUCAAAUUUUCAUGAAAAUGAUUGAAAGAAACAGAUGCAACUUCACUUAGCUGUCCCACUUAAUGCAAUCUCCAAAAGUGAAUUCUACUAAGAAACACUAGCAAGAAGGUGGCCAGAUGUUUCACCAGCAAGCUCACAGAACAGCUUCUUAGAAACUACUAUAUGCAAAGCUCAACUGUGUCAGUGACUUUAAAAUAAAAACUCAUGGAAUCACA